rnacentral:rRNA from 1 species
ACAUAUAGCCAUAUUAGCUUGAGGAUGCCAGAAGUCCUCUAAUCUCAGAGGUAAGCAGGGUCAGACAUGGUUAGUAUUUGCAUGGUGACUGCCUGGUAACACCAGGUAAUAUAGACU